GGCAGGGAAUGGAAUACGGAGUGUAAAAAGAAAAAUAAAAUAAAAUUAAAAAAAAAAAAGAACCUAUUUGCAGGAGAUGGCUCAGCAGUUAGGAGUUCUUGCUGUCAAAGCAAGGGGACCUGAGUUCAAAUCUCCAAUGCCCUAAAGCUAAGCAUGGUCGUGAGUGUCCAUAACCACAGCCUUCGGAGAUGAAGUCAGGUGGGUCCUGGGAAUCCUCUAGGCCAGCAGCCAGCCUGGCUGAAAUUUCCAGUUAAAGGUUCAGUGAGGAACCGUGUCUCAGAAACUAACACUAGAGGACCAGCAUCCUGCUCUAGCCUCUGCAUGCUUGGGCACCAGCACCCGCAUGUACACAGGCUUGUCCACAGGCUUGUCCACCACACAAAGAAAAGGAGGGAGGGACGAUAACAGAAAGUUAUUGUAACUCCAAAUCCAUCUAGAGACUGGCACAAGUAGAAAGUGGGUGAUAAAAUUAUAGUUUGGGGCAUGGCAUGGGGUUAGCUUGGUCAUAAACACAAAUUCCUCAGUUUAAUCUCUAGGACCCUCAGUUUUAAAAAAGCCAGGCAGUUUUGAGGGCUGGAGUAUUGGGGGUGUGGGGACAGGCAGAUUUCUGGGAUUUGCUUGCGAGCCAGAGAGACCAACGAGUAGAGUUUCGUGCUAGUGAGAAACCCUGUCUCGAGAAGAAGGUAGAUGGCUCCCUGGAAAUAAAUGAGAUUUUUCUCUAGUCUUCACCAUAAACGCACAUGGGUAAACACACGAGUACACGUGCGCACACACACACACACACACACAGGAAUUGGGGCGCAGAGAGACGGGGAGCAGAGAAAUAGAGUUCUAGCUCUUGCAGUCACUAAGUUAAGCACAUUUGUAGGACAAGCAUCCCCGCCGCCCACCAGUGAGGGUUGAUAGACGUCCUUACCUCAGACAGGAGGUGCUGGAUCACAACGGUCAGCGCUUCAAACUUGGUGUUACCACGGGAAAGAAGCUGUCUGAGGUGCAGGAUGAAUCCACUUUGGCUUUCACAUUUUGUCUUGUAUUGGGCCAACUCAAGCGUUCUCUCGGAGGACAGCACAUCUGGAGCUGUCUGGGUCUGGAUGCAUAGGCUCCUGGGAUUCUUCUGCCUGCCCUUUUCAACUGCAAGAGGAAGGAAAGAAAAGCACAAAGAAGAUGCGCGUGAGGUUAACUAAUUUUUAUAACCACCACCACCACAUGGGGCUCACAACCAGCCUACUGCCGCCACACCAGAGCAUCUGAACCAUGUUUUACGUUGGGACGUACACAUGGUGGCAGGCUGGAGUAGAUCGGGGAUCAGGAUGGGUGGAACUCGUCAACAGGGCCAAUGGCUUUAGUUCUCACUGUGAAGAUUUAAUGGGGAGUUAUGCACAUGAGCCAAACAGAUUUAGCAACUCAGAAACAUAAAACACUGGAGGCAGGGAAGAGGCAAAAUAGUGACUUCGUGGCCUUUAUUUUUAAUUCACCAUUGUUGUCUGUGUUCAUGAUGUUAUGUGCAUGAGAGUACAGGUUCUCAAAGACUACUGCGGUCCUGUGGCGGUCAGAGGACCACCUCCUAGAGCUGGUUUCCUUUUACUAUGAGUUCCAGGAUCAAGCGCAGGUCACUAGGCUUGCAUGGCAAGCACUUUCACCUGCUGAGCCAUCCCUCCAACUCCACUUCAUAGUUUUUACUCUUCCAGUUAAGUUGACAAAUCUGAAAGUCCUUUCCUGUGUCUGUUGGGGUAGUCCCGCGAUUUCUGUCCUUGAGUCCGUUUGUGUGUGCAUACGCGCAUGUGUAUGUAAGGGGGCAGGGGGAGAGAGAACGAAUGUGAGUCUGCUAUCACAGUGACGCAGUAAAUUAUACCAGGUGACGAAAAGGAACAAGAGUGGCACUGCACUCAUGACACAGGCUGAACAAAGUACAAUUAUACAGUAGGCAGAACUAAGACACACUAUUCAAACGGUUUCCCAUUUUGGAGAAAUGCUGAAGCUAGCCGGUAGUGCACUUAAAUCUAGGAUGCGGUUUAAAUCCCCUUGUGUCUUCAAACAGACGAUGAAAGGGUAUGAUUAAAAAGCAGAGAUUUAAAAAAAAAAAGAAAAGAAAAGAAAAAAGAAAUCAUGGGAUAAGCACUGAGGAAAAUUCUGAUUAUUGGACUUGAAAUGCUUUUCUUUCCUCUCGAAGGCUCCUUUUUAAAAAAUUUGUUAGACUGGGCAUGGUGACACACACUUUUAAUUUAAUUGCUUGGGGGCUGGGGGUGGGGAGGCAGGUGGAUCUCUGAGUUCCAAGACAGCCUGGUCUACAGAGGUUUUGUAGGCCAACUGAGGAGGCGCACUGAGACCCUGCCACCAAAUAAAUGAGUACAUGUGUUAUUUUUGUUUGUUUGUCAGCAUGCUAAGUAAUAGGCUUCAUUAUAGUAUUUCAUAGAUGAUUUGUUUAAGUUUUAGUAAGUUCUUCACAGUUGCUUGCUGGUCUGCCUCCUCCACCCUAAAGCCCUCCCAUUUUCCCAGGAAACCCUUCCUCCUUUACCUCACUGCCCCCUGUACCCUUUCCACAAACACCUCCCACAGAGCUGUCUUCCCCGCUGUCUUUCUGGUCAUUGUCACAGUCUACUCUGCAGAUGUCACCGAAAUCUAAUGACCCAGCAUAUACACUGGAGAUCCUGCACUUUGCUCCUCCGAGGUUACUGGGAAAAGCAGCGUGUGCCUGUGCGCCUGGAUACACUGCCUCAUUUUUCAACAAGCGCAAACUUCGUUCCCCGUGUAGUAAAAAAAAAAAAAAAAAAAAGAGUGUAAAAAUGUUCUCAAAUGCAUGCUACUAUUCCAGAUUCAUCUACGUUUGGAGAGAUUGCUCACUUCCCAUGCUGUGUUCUGGGAACAACCGGUUUUAAAUGAAAAUCUUUCUUGCAGUUUUGGAAGCAUUCCAAACGUCAAGUUGCUCUGGGUAAAACAGGAAGCCUACUGCUUGGUGUCUGGAAAUAAACAGGCCCAGCAAUCAAAACAAAU
rnacentral:lncRNA from 1 species